rnacentral:rRNA from 1 species
UACGUAGGUGGCAAGCGUUAUCCGGAUUUAUUGGGCGUAAAGGGAACGCAGGCGGUCUUUUAAGUCUGAUGUGAAAGCCUUCGGCUUAACCGGAGUAGUGCAUUGGAAACUGGGAGACUUGAGUGCAGAAGAGGAGAGUGGAACUCCAUGUGUAGCGGUGAAAUGCGUAGAUAUAUGGAAGAACACCAGUGGCGAAAGCGGCUCUCUGGUCUGCAACUGACGCUGAGGCUCGAAAGCGUGGGGAGCAAACAGG